rnacentral:rRNA from 1 species
UCCGAGUGCGAGGGCAUAUAGUCCUCGCUUUUCACCACCGUAAGGUGGUGGUGGAAUAAGUGCUGGGCAAGACCGGUGCCAGCCGCCGCGGUAAUACCGGCAGCACGAGUGAUGACCGCUAUUAUUGGGCCUAAAGCGUCCGUAGCUGGCCGCACAAGUCUAUCGGGAAAUCUGCGUGCUUAACGCGCAGGCGUCCGGUGGAAACUGUGUGGCUUGGGACCGGAAGAUCCAGAGGGUACGUCUGGGGUAGGAGUGAAAUCCCGUAAUCCUGGACGGACCGCCGGUGGCGAAAGCGCUCUGGAAGGACGGAUCCGACGGUGAGGGACGAAAGCUCGGGUCACGAACCGGAUUAGAUACCCGGGUAGUCCGAGCUGUAAACGAUGUCUGCUAGGUGUGACACUGGCUACGAGCCAGUGUUGUGCCGUAGGGAAGCCGUGAAGCAGACCGCCUGGGAAGUACGUCCGCAAGGAUGAAACUUAAAGGAAUUGGCG